rnacentral:piRNA from 1 species
AGAGGCCUGGGAGGAGAUGAGUU